rfam:Anisakis simplex genome assembly, scaffold: ASIM_scaffold0001983
CCAACGGCCCUCUUUAGGGCCACAAAUCAAUAAACCAAACUUGAUC